rnacentral:tRNA from 1 species
CAAGACGUAGCUUAACCCA